CCACACACGAUCCAAGAUCGACACUUUUUGUGAACUGUUAAACUUUAUUGGUCGCUCAAAAAGAGGAGGGGAGAAUGUCAAAAACUCUCUCAAACUCUUUGAUCAGUAACAUUUUAAACACCAAAACAAACCCAACAAUGAAUUAUACAAUGGAACUUAAAUGUUAUUAUAGAGUUCGUCUCUUUAUAACGCUAGAUUAUUAAUUGUAAAA
rnacentral:misc_RNA from 1 species